rnacentral:SRP_RNA from 1 species
GCCGGGCGUGGUGGCGUGUGCCUGUAGUCCCCCCUAUUUGGGAGGCUGAGGUGGGAGGAUUGCUUGAGCCCAGAAGUUCUGGGCUGUAGGGCGUUACGCUGGGUGUCCCCACGAAGUUUGGCAUCCAUAUAGCGACCUCUCGGGAGCAGGGGACCACCACUAAGGAGGGGUGAACCAACCCAGGUCUGAAACAGCAGGUCAAAACUCAUGUGCUAAUCAGUAGUGGGAUCGCCCCUGUGAAUAGCCACUGCACUCCAGCCUGGGCAACAUGGCAAGACCCCGUCUCUU